rnacentral:rRNA from 1 species
GACGAACGCUGGCGGUGUGCUUAACACAUGCAAGUCGAACGGUAAGGCCCUUUCGGGGGUACACGAGUGGCGAACGGGUGAGUAACACGUGAGUAACCUGCCCUCAUCUCUGGGAUAACAGUCGGAAACGGUUGCUAAUACUGGAUAUGAGCUUGCAAGGCAUCUUGUGGGUUGGAAAGAUUUUUUUUGGUUGGGGAUGGACUCGCGGCCCAUCAGCUUGUUGGUGAGGUAGUGGCUCACCAAGGCUUCGACGGGUAGCCGGCCUGAGAGGGCGACCGGCCACAUUGGGACUGAGAUACGGCCCAAACUCCUACGGGAGGCAGCAGUGGGGAAUAUUGCACAAUGGACGGAAGUCUGAUGCAGCAACGCCGCGUGCGGGAUGACGGCCUUCGGGUUGUAAACCGCUUUCAAUUGUGACGAAGCUUUUUUGUGACGGUAGCAGUAGAAGAAGCACCGGCUAACUACGUG